rnacentral:rRNA from 1 species
AUUGAACGCUGGCGGCAGGCCUAACACAUGCAAGUCGAACGGUAACAGGGAUCAGCUUGCUGAUUCGCUGACGAGUGGCGGACGGGUGAGUAAUGUCUGGGAAACUGCCUGAUGGAGGGGGAUAACUACUGGAAACGGUAGCUAAUACCGCAUAACGUCGCAAGACCAAAGAGGGGGACCUUCGGGCCUCUUGCCAUCGGAUGUGCCCAGAUGGGAUUAGCUAGUAGGUGGGGUAACGGCUCACCUAGGCGACGAUCCCUAGCUGGUCUGAGAGGAUGACCAGCCACACUGGAACUGAGACACGGUCCAGACUCCUACGGGAGGCAGCAGUGGGGAAUAUUGCACAGUGGGCGCAAGCCUGAUGCAGCCAUGCCGCGUGUAUGAAGAAGGCCUUCGGGUUGUAAAGUACUUUCAGCGGGGAGGAAGGGAGUAAAGUUAAUACCUUUGCUCAUUGACGUUACCCGCAGAAGAAGCACCGGCUAACUCCGUG